UGCUACAAUGGGUAGUACAGAGGGUUGCCAAACCGUAAGGUGGAGCUAAUCCCUUAAAGCUACUCUCAGUUCGGAUUGUAGGCUGAAACUCGCCUACAUGAAGCUGGAGUUACUAGUAAUCGCAGAUCAGAAUGCUGCGGUGAAUGCGUUCCCGGGUCUUGUACACACCGCCCGUCACACCACGGGAGUUGGAGACGCCCGAAGCCGAUUAUCUAACCUUUUGGAAGAAGUCGUCGAAGGUGGAAUCAAUAACUGGGGUGAAGUCGUAACAAGGUAGCCGUAUCGGAAGGUGCGGCUGGAUC
rnacentral:rRNA from 1 species